rnacentral:rRNA from 1 species
UACGUAGGUGGCAAGCGUUGUCCGGAUUUACUGGGCGUAAAGAGCGCGCAGGCGGUCGAUCAAGUCGCGUGUGAAAGCCCCCCGGCUCAACUGGGGAGGGUCACGCGAUACUGAUCGACUCGAAGGCAGGAGAGGGUAGUGGAAUUCCCGGUGUAGUGGUGAAAUGCGUAGAUAUCGGGAGGAACACCAGUGGCGAAGGCGACUACCUGGCCUGUUUCUUGACGCUGAGGCGCGAAAGCUAGGGGAGCAAA